rnacentral:rRNA from 1 species
CAGCCGCCGCGGUAAUACGUAGGUGGCAAGCGUUGUCCGGAAUUAUUGGGCGUAAAGGGCUCGCAGGCGGUUUCUUAAGUCUGAUGUGAAAGCCCCCGGCUCAACCGGGGAGGGUCAUUGGAAACUGGGAAACUUGAGUGCAGAAGAGGAGAGUGGAAUUCCACGUGUAGCGGUGAAAUGCGUAGAGAUGUGGAGGAACACCAGUGGCGAAGGCGACUCUCUGGUCUGUAACUGACGCUGAGGAGCGAAAGCGUGGGGAGCGAACAGGAUUAGAUACCCCAGUAGUCCCUGUCUUUAUACC